GAUUUAGUAUUCCUCAAAAUGAAUAAAAACAGUGAAAUGCAAACUCAGAAUGCGACGCAAACCUGCAACAAUAAAUGUUAAACAACAUAA